UGGAGUUAAGAGGGUUCAUACGAACCCGCUUCGUCGAAAAGUAACACUGUGUAUAUAGGUAUAUUUUUUCUGUCUUCAAAAAAGUAAAGGUAUAAAUAUAAUUUUGAACCCGCUUCAAACAAGUAAAUCGCCUAGCCUGCUGGUAAAGAGGGUUCAAAUUUUCCACAUGGUCCUGAGUUCGAAACCAGCUAGUCACAUAUGGCCUCUAUUUUUGUUUUUUUAAAAUAGGUUACUUUUCCCAUAAAAACGACGUCGUUAGCCCCUCUGCCCUCUAGUCACAUAUGAUCUUUGAGAUUAGAGAUCAAAAUCUCUAAUCUUAAGCCCUCGAUGCCUCUCUCUCUCUCAUUCUCUCUCUCUCUUCAAUUUCAAAGAGAAUUGCCUCCUCCGUUAGCCCCUGCUGAGAAGGUCAUCUCCCUCAAAGACAAAGGGCGUAAUCUUGGUAUCAGGUGAUCAAUAAGAACCAAUUCUAGUUUUCCAAUUUGUAGUAUUUAUUCCUCUUUUGCAUAAAGAUUUAAUCCCAAUAAAUUUCCUUCACCUUUAUGUGCUUCCUUCUCUUUGUUGACUGUUGUAGUUCAAUUUCAAAGAACAUUGCUUCAUAGUUGUCUCCUCCAUUAGCCAUAAGCCACUGCCGCUUCUCGUUGGGUCGCCUCUCUCCGUCUGUCGCCGUCAGCCCUACCCCGUCAAUUGUCACUAUCAGGUUUCUCAGUUCUCACUUGCUUAUUUUGCUGAUUUUUGUAAUUUAUGCUUUGGAAAAAAAUUCAGAUUAUUUUAAUGGGUUUUGGCUAAGAAAUUGAGAGUAAUAAAUUUGCUUAUAUUGAGAAGUUAGCACUUUUUCUCUUUAGUUAUGGAAAAUUUUAGAUUGUUGUUGUUGGUUUUGACUUUUGAGUGAGAAAUCCUUUUUCAGUUUGAGUAUAAUGAAAGUAUAAAAAGUCUAGUUUGAGAAAUCCUUUUUCAGAUUAUUAGACUAUGUUGAAAUGUUGAAACAGAUUAUUAGAAAAAGUCUUUUCACUUUUUCUCUUUUGAUUGCAUUUUAUUAGACUGUCAAAUUAGGAUUACUAUUUAAAAUUUUGCCUAUUAUUGUAUGUCCAAGGUGAUGAAUAUGAUAUAACAAAUUCUCACUAUCGGGUUUCACCUUUGCUAUUAUCCAUGAAUGAAAGUUUCAUCGCAAAGUUCCGUAAUCUGAUGAGUGAUAGUUACUUGUGUUGUCUUCGGCCACAUUAAUUCUUCUAGUUUAAAUUUAAGGUUAAACAUAUACAAAAUUAUUCUUCUAAUUCUAAUUCUAAUUUGGUAAUCCAGUUUGUGUUACAAUGAGGAGAUUUUACCCUCCAGCAUCUCCCAAGUUGCCACAACCAAGUUCAUCUUCUCCAAUUGCUGCUCCCAUAGAACAAAAUUUGAACCAAUUAGAAGAGCAACCUCAAUCCUCUAAAAG
rnacentral:lncRNA from 1 species